rnacentral:lncRNA from 1 species
ACUACAGCUGAAAUUGGCACCAGCUCCAGCAGGAGCUGGACUGAAUGACCCUGGAUGCCUAUGAGUGCUGUUCUGCUUCCACUUCUCUUCUGACCCAAACUCAGCGUGGUGGUGCAAUAGCCUGGCCAAGCGACUUGUUCUGCAUAUUCCUAGUGCUUUUAUUCCAGCGGAAUUAGGUGACCUGAUCUUCACAGGACAAGAAGGCUCUGAGCAGCUUGCCCUGAGUGUCCCUCUAAUUCCAGAGGCAGGUAAACAAGCGAAGAGUGAAUUCACACGUUAAAGAGCAGCGAAGACCAUCUUGCCAUGAAACCAUUCACAGAUGAAGAUGUAGAAAUCUACAUCCAGAGCAAGGUAAGGCUGUAUCUGUUCAGAUUUUCUGUCUCCCACACUAGGUGUUGAUUCUGAAGGGUGCCAAACUUGACAGUUAGUUGCUUGCCUGCUGUCUUCAUUUCUGAGACAAGACUGGGUGAAGUUUCAGAAGAACUGUAUUUCUAAUGAGAUUUCUAGGUUUUUGUUGCAGAAUGUUAUCAGGAAUCUCAGUUGGUAGCCUAAUUUUUCAAGGUGCUUGUACUUGUCUUUAGAUAUCUUGAAUUUUUGCUCCCAAUCUGGAAUUCCAGAUGUGAGACUAGCUGUAAUUGCCAGCAUUUAAGCUAAGGAAAGGUCCUUGCCUCUCUCCUUCUCCAAUGGUCUUGGCUUGACGGAAACAAGGCUGAAACCACACCAGGAGUUACCUCUAAGAAAGAUGCAUAUAGGAACUAGAAAGAGAGGUAGAUAUUGUUAGCAUUCACCCAUUUGUCUGUCACCUCAGUUAAGGAUACUUCUCUAUACACCACAAUUAAAAUAACAUGCCUUAUUAGCACAUGCAGGUUUGAACCACGUUUCUAUUUUAUGAAACAUUCCAGCACUCUAUUUUUUCCACAUUAUGAAAUGAAGUAAACAAUGAUGAAAUGGUGAUAGUCUGCUUUCCCCAACAAAACACAAGGCACUAAAGUGAAAAAUAAUUUCAGAAUGGAAAACUGUAAGGCUUUCUUUUCUGUAAAGGAUGAAAUAUUCUUG